GAUGAACGCUAGCUACAGGCUUAACACAUGCAAGUCGAGGGGUAACGAGAGGGAAGCUUGCUUUCCUUGUCGACGACCGGCGGAUGGGUGAGUAACGCGUAUCCAACCUGCCCUUCAGUAAGGGAUAGCCUUUCGAAAGAAAGAAUAAUACCUUAUGUGAUCGUUUGAUGACAUCAGACGACGAUCAAAGAUUUAUCGCUGAAGGACGGCGACGCGUCCCAUUAGGCAGUAGGCGGGGUAACGGCCCACCUAACCUACGAUGGGUAGGGGUUCUGAGAGGAAGGUCCCCCACAUUGGAACUGAGACACGGUCCAAACUCCUACGGGAGGCAGCAGUGAGGAAUAUUGGUCAAUGGCCGUAAGGCUGAACCAGCCAAGUAGCGUGCAGGAUGACGGCCCUAUGGGUUGUAAACUGCUUUUAAACGGGGAUAAAGUGAGCCACGUGUGGUUUAUUGCAGGUACCGUUUGAAUAAGGACCGGCUAAUUCCGCGCCAGCCGCCGCAGUAA
rnacentral:rRNA from 1 species